rnacentral:lncRNA from 1 species
UUUUUUUAUUCAAUACAUUAAGAGUAGAUUACAUAAAUAGAGAAAUUCAAAAAUAUACAAAGCUUAUUCAUCUUCAUCACCAAACUUUUGCCAAAUAUUUUCCACUAAAUCAGCUUUCAAUCGAGCAUGCUUCUCUAAAUCUUGAACUUCUCUGCGGAUGCCUAAUAUAUCACCGACAUGAAUACUAUCUCUGCUUCUCACCCUUGAACUUCUGCUGGACUCUCCUGACUCAAACUCAGAUGUAUUAAUUUGAGCGUAUCCGUGUCGUUCGUUCUCUACUAUCAUAUUGUGUAAUAUGACACAAGUU